UACAGAGGUCCCGAGCGUUGUUCGGAUUCACUGGGCGUAAAGGGUGCGUAGGUGGCGUGGUAAGUUUGAUGUGAAAGCUCAGGGCUUAACCCUGAAAUGGCAUUGAAUACUACUGUGCUGGAGGUUUGGAGGGGGGGACUGGAAUUCUUGGUGUAGCAGUGAAAUGCGUAGAUAUCAAGAGGAACACCAGUGGCGAAGGCGAGUCCCUGGACAACACCUGACACUGAGGCACGAAAGCUAGGGGAGCAAACAGG
rnacentral:rRNA from 1 species